rfam:Myotis brandtii contig274020, whole genome shotgun sequence.
GGCAGUUCUCAGGUGAUGCACCCCAGAAUCAGACUCCUUCCUCUCUGGUUCUGGGUGCGUCAUCCAAGAACCACU